rnacentral:rRNA from 1 species
UACGGAGGGUGCAAGCGUUAUCCGGAUUUACUGGGUUUAAAGGGUGUGUAGGCGGAUUAUUAAGUCAGUGGUGAAAUCCCGAGGCUCAACCUCGGAACUGCCAUUGAUACUAUUAGUCUUGAAUGUUGUGGAGGUGGGCGGAACGGGUCAUGUAGCGGUGAAAUGCAUAGAUAUGACCCGGAACACCGAUUGCGAAGGCACUUUACUGGGCUAUUACUAACACUCAGAGACGAAAGCUAGGGUAGCAAAUGGG